CCUACGGGUGGCAGCAGUGAGGAAUAUUGGUCAAUGGGCGCGAGCCUGAACCAGCCAAGUCGCGUGAGGGAGGACGGCCCUACGGGUUGUAAACCUCUUUUGCCGGGGAGCAACGGGCGUCACGUGUGGCGCCACUGAGAGUACCCGGAGAAAAAGCAUCGGCUAACUCCGUGCCAGCAGCCGCGGUAUUACGGGGGAUGCGAGCUUUAUCGGGUUUUUUUGGGUUUAAGGGGUGCGUAGGCGGAUCGUUAAGUCAGGGGUAAAAUUGGGGGACUAAACCCCUUCUCGCCAUUGAAACUGGCGUUCUUGAGUGGAAGAGAAGUAUGCGGAAUGCGUGGUGUAGCGGUGAAAUGCAUAGAUAUCACGCAGAACCCCGAUUGCGAAGGCAGCAUGCCGGCUUCCGACUGACGCUGAAGCACGAAAGCGUGGGGAUCGAACAGGAUUAGAUACCCUUGUAGUC
rnacentral:rRNA from 1 species